AACGAACGCUGGCGGCAUGCCUAACACAUGCAAGUCGAACGAGACCAUCGUGUCUGGUUGCGCACGCGUGCGUAACGCGGGGGAACCUGCCGGUAUGUUCGGAAUAACUCUCUUUCGGGGGUGCUAAUACCGGGUAAUUUCUGCUGACAAAAGAUAUAUCGACCUUGGAUGGGCCCGCGUUGGAUGAGCUUGCUGGUAGUGUAAAAGCCUACCACGGCUUCGAUCGAUAGCUGGUAUGAGAGGAUGAUCAGCGACUCUGGGAGUGAGACACGGCCGAGAAUACUACGGGAAGCAGCAGUGGGGAAUAUUGGCAAAUCGGGGAAAGCAUGAUCCAGCACUGCCGGGUGAGUGCUGAAGUCCUUAGGGUAGUAAAGCUGUUUUAUCCGGGAUGAUAAUGACAGUACCGGGAGAAUAAGCUCCGGCUAACUCCGUG
rnacentral:rRNA from 1 species